rnacentral:rRNA from 1 species
AGAGUUUGAUCCUGGCUCAGAACGAACGCUGGCGGCAGGCUUAACACAUGCAAGUCGAACGGUUGUAGCAAUACAGCAGUGGCAGACGGGUGAGUAACGCGUGGGAACGUGCCUUUCGGUUCGGAAUAACCCAGGGAAACUUGGGCUAAUACCGGAUACGCCCUUCGGGGGAAAGAUUCAUUGCCGAAAGAUCGGCCCGCGUCGGAUUAGCUAGUUGGUGGGGUAAUGGCUCACCAAGGCGACGAUCCGUAGCUGGUCUGAGAGGAUGACCAGCCACACUGGGACUGAGACACGGCCCAGACUCCUACGGGAGGCAGCAGUGGGGAAUAUUGGACAAUGGGCGCAAGCCUGAUCCAGCCAUGCCGCGUGGGUGAAGAAGGCCUUAGGGUUGUAAACCCCUUUCAGCGGGGAAGAUAAUGACGGUACCCGCAGAAGA